UGUUGACAGCGCGCGUCACAUUUGAAAUUGGAUUAUUUUUCUUCCCUGCAAUUCUUUAAAAUGGCUUCGCGCAAAAAAGGAACGGGUCUCUCAUUAACACAAAGAGAAAAAUUGGCAAUUGUAAGAAGGAAAUUUGUGAAAAAGUUGCGCGCAUGUUCGAUAUUCAUCACACGGUUGCUUUCAAAAUUCUGGACCACUUUAAAGCCUCAAAGUGUGUAGAAGCUCCAAAGAAAAAAGGGAGGCCAAAAGUAAAUUAUAAAACGAACCCAGCAUUUUACUACAUUAAAGAGGAAUUGGGUCGACAGAUACAUUCAUUCCAUGCUAAUAAACAACAUUUUACUUUACAUGACUUGCACAAAUACGCUGUUGAAGAGUGUGAAUUCAUCUGCAAAAGUUCAAUAAUCGAAAAGUCCUUAUCGAGCAACCUCAUGUAAUCACGAAAAGAAUUCGUUUUAUCAGAAGAUACCUGCAAUACUUAGAAUCAAAUAAUUAUAUAUUCGUGUUCCUGGAUGAAACCUGGAUACAUGAAAAUGGAAACAAAGUGCGCAUGUGGAUUAAUGAAUCUGAUCCCAAUGGGGUUCCAAAACUUGUUAACGGCGAGGGCAAAAGAUUUACUUUUCUGCAUGCUGGUAUUGUUGCAGGUUUUCUACCGGAAUGUGACUUACUUCUUAGCUCCGACUUAGAGCACCGCGACUAUCACAAGAAUAUGAAUGCUGAAAUUUUCACUGCUUGGGUCAAAAAUCAAUUACUUCCGGCUCUAGCGUUGUUACCCAAACCGUGCCCCCUAUCACUCGGUGCAAGCCAAUAAAACACCAGUUGCAAGUUCAAAAAAAGGGAAUAUGAUACGUUGGUUGAACAUGAAUAACAUAGAAUAUCUUCCCAAUGCAUUGAAGAAAACGUUGUGGGAUAAAAUUCGCGAACACAAGGCUAAUUUGGAAAAAACAUAUAUUAUUGAUGAAUUAAUCAAAGAAAAUGGUUAUGUUGUACUUCGAUUACCCCCAUAUAAUUGUCAAUACAACCCUAUUGAAUUGGCCUGGGGUUGUUUAAAGACUUAUUAUAACAAAAAUAUGCCAUCAUUUCCUUCUGCUGAAUCAAAGAUACAAAAAGUUAAACUUCUGUGGCUCGAAACGAUUUCAAAAUUUACACCUGCAAUGUGGAAUAAUAGUGUUCAACACUGCGAAAAAUUAAUUCGGGAGGACUGGGAAAAAUUAAUGGGCAAUUCCCCACUUGAAGACAUACCUCCAAUUAUUAUACAAUUGUCGGCGGAUUCAGAUGAUUCUGAGGACGAGGACUUUUGUGAUUCCGACUUUGAAUAGU